CAGUCGAGCGGAUUUUCUGGAGCUUGCUCCAGAAAGUUAGCGGCGGACGGGUGAGUAACACGUGGGCAAUCUGCCCGUAAGACUGGGAUAACUCCGGGAAACCGGGGCUAAUACCGGAUAACCCUGACUCUCUCCUGAGAGUCAGUUGAAAGAUGGUUUCGGCUAUCACUUACGGAUGAGCCCGCGGCGCAUUAGCUAGUUGGUGAGGUAACGGCUCACCAAGGCGACGAUGCGUAGCCGACCUGAGAGGGUGAUCGGCCACACUGGGACUGAGACACGGCCCAGACUCCUACGGGAGGCAGCAGUAGGGAAUCUUCCGCAAUGGACGAAAGUCUGACGGAGCAACGCCGCGUGAGUGAAGAAGGUUUUCGGAUCGUAAAACUCUGUUGUCAGGGAAGAACACGUACGAGAGUAACUGCUCGUACCUUGACGGUACCUGACCAGAAAGCCACGGCUAACUACGUGCCAGCAGCCGCGGUAAUACGUAGGUGGCAAGCGUUGUCCGGAAUUAUUGGGCGUAAAGCGCGCGCAGGUGGUUCCUUAAGUCUGAUGUGAAAGCCCCCGGCUCAACCGGGGAGGGUCAUUGGAAA
rnacentral:rRNA from 1 species